rnacentral:rRNA from 1 species
GAUAAACGCUGGCGGCGUGCCUAACACAUGCAAGUCGAACGAAGUUUUUCUUUCGGGAGGAACUUAGUGGCGGACGGGUGAGUAACGCGUGGGUAACCUGCCCUGUACAGGGGGACAACAGCUGGAAACGGCUGCUAAUUCCGCAUAAGCCCUUAGCACUGCAUGGUGCAUAGGGAAAAGGAGCAAUCCGGUACAGGAUGGACCCGCGUCUGAUUAGCCAGUUGGCAGGGUAACGGCCUACCAAAGCGACGAUCAGUAGCCGAUCUGAGAGGAUGUACGGCCACAUUGGGAGUGGGACACGGCCCGGACUCCUAGGGGAGGCAGCAAUGGGGAAUAUUGCACAAUGGAGGAAACUCUGAUGCAGCGACGCCGCGUGAGUGAAGAAGUAUUUCGGUAUGUAAAGCUCUAUCAGCAGGAAAGAAAAUGACGGUACCUGACUAAGAAGCACCGGCUAAAUACGUG